GCAGUGUCGGGCCGGGUC
rnacentral:misc_RNA from 1 species